UCACUGUUCAUACUACUCCAUACACCGGUGAGCUCCCUGCCGACCAGAGCUCGCCGCGGCAGCAACUGAGAUUCUUCCCCAGAGGCAGAUCAACUUCAAGAUUGGGUAAUUUCCUGCCCCUUGCCAUCGUCUAUUUCCUUCCCCCUCGCCAAGGAAGGCGGUCGUGUUCUUCCCCGAUUCACAGAUGUCUAAUUGUUGAUCUUUCUUUGAAGUAAUGGCAGCAGCUUUCGACUACGACAGCAGAGCCUGGCUGGCCACGUAGCGGCGGCAAGACAUUCGGCGCAAGAUCUCGAGAGAUCAACGAAUGGACGAGCUUGAAACCAGAUGAGCGCCGCCGCUUUACAUGCCUCACAGCCAAAUAGAAAAAUUGAUUAAAGCAGACAGCAAGGGGUGAUAAAAUAGAAACCUGUGUUCUGUCUGCAAUAGAUAAUGGCGUCACUUCAAGGCGCCCAUCACCAUUAAUGGCGGGGCGGGGGCAAGUUCAUAGCUCCGACAUUGACUCUCUCUGUCCCCUGCAUGCCAUGUCUACAGAGAAACCCACGUUCCCAAGAAAGAUUCCCGCCCGUCGCCGUUGAGCAUCGCUCGGGGGGCGGAAGCAACUCUGCGCAGGCAUUCUGAGGGAGAUCGGCGGCGGAUGGAGGCGGCGAGAGUUGGAACAGUGAGGGGAAGAUGAUUUAUUUCUUUCUUUCUUCUAAGCGGGCGUUUACUGCCGCCUGUCGCCGGCGGAGGGCUAU
rnacentral:lncRNA from 1 species